rnacentral:rRNA from 1 species
CCGGGGGAACUGAAACAUCUAAGUACCCCGAGGAAAAGAAAUCAACCGAGAUUCCCCCAGUAGCGGCGAGCGAACGGGGAGGAGCCCAGAGCCUGAAUCAGUGUGUGUGUUAGUGGAAGCGUCUGGAAAGGCGCGCGAUACAGGGUGACAGCCCCGUACACAAAAAUGCACAUACUGUGAGCUCGAUGAGUAGGGCGGGACACGUGGUAUCCUGUCUGAAUAUGGGGGGACCAUCCUCCAAGGCUAAAUACUCCUGACUGACCGAUAGUGAACCAGUACCGUGAGGGAAAGGCGAAAAGAACCCCGGCGAGGGGAGUGAAAAAGAACCUGAAACCGUGUACGUACAAGCAGUGGGAGCCUCUUAAUGGGGUGACUGCGUACCUUUUGUAUAAUGGGUCAGCGACUUAUAUUCUGUAGCAAGGUUAACCGAAUAGGGGAGCCGAAGGGAAACCGAGUCUUAACUGGGCGUUAAGUUGCAGGGUAUAGACCCGAAACCCGGUGAUCUAGCCAUGGGCAGGUUGAAGGUUGGGUAACACUAACUGGAGGACCGAACCGACUAAUGUUGAAAAAUUAGCGGAUGACUUGUGGCUGGGGGUGAAAGGCCAAUCAAACCGGGAGAUAGCUGGUUCUCCCCGAAAGCUAUUUAGGUAGCGCCUCGUGAAUUCAUCUCCGGGGGUAGAGCACUGUUUCGGCAAGGGGGUCAUCCCGACUUACCAACCCGAUGCAAACUGCGAAUACCGGAGAAUGUUAUCACGGGAGACACACGGCGGGUGCUAACGUCCGUCGUGAAGAGGGAAACAACCCAGACCGCCAGCUAAGGUCCCAAAGUCAUGGUUAAGUGGGAAACGAUGUGGGAAGGCCCAGACAGCCAGGAUGUUGGCUUAGAAGCAGCCAUCAUUUAAAGAAAGCGUAAUAGCUCACUGGUCGAGUCGGCCUGCGCGGAAGAUGUAACGGGGCUAAACCAUGCACCGAAGCUGCGGCAGCGACACUAUGUGUUGUUGGGUAGGGGAGCGUUCUGUAAGCCUGUGAAGGUGUACUGUGAGGUAUGCUGGAGGUAUCAGAAGUGCGAAUGCUGACAUAAGUAACGAUAAAGCGGGUGAAAAGCCCGCUCGCCGGAAGACCAAGGGUUCCUGUCCAACGUUAAUCGGGGCAGGGUGAGUCGACCCCUAAGGCGAGGCCGAAAGGCGUAGUCGAUGGGAAACAGGUUAAUAUUCCUGUACUUGGUGUUACUGCGAAGGGGGGACGGAGAAGGCUAUGUUGGCCGGGCGACGGUUGUCCCGGUUUAAGCGUGUAGGCUGGUUUUC